rnacentral:lncRNA from 1 species
GUAUGAUCUCAAGAACUCCCCCAUUCUCCCUGGAUGUUGUAGCUGGAGACUAAGGGCAGCUUUGCAUCCAUGAGACAACUCUAGGAUCUGACCCCAGGACCACCUGCACACCUAAGAAUGGAUUAAAUUACAACUCAGACACAUCCUCACGAGUGGCUGCUCUCGGAAGAUGCGUGUGCAUAGACCAACCCUGUCCCUCCUUUUCACCCUUCAUGGUUUCACACCAGCCCUGCAGCUGCAGAAUCUCCAUUGGUCUGGAGUAUCGGGGGGAAUGCUCUCUGGUGCAGCACGUGCACUUCACCUGAUGCUUAUGGAAGACACACAGCACACAAGCGCACACUAAUAAACAGGAAAACACCUCCUCUGGGAUUGGCCAGAGCUUCGAAGCAGUGCAGGCAGGGCCUUCCUGACAUUGUGGCAUGGCUUCUGCUUGCUGCCUUCUCCCAUAAAGCAGUGGUUCCUCCGUAGAAAGCACUCAGCAGUGGGGAGAGCGCGGAGAACAAGCACAUCUCCCAACACUGAGCCACCCCCACCCUCUUACCUCUUGGUGCUGUGGCAAGCUGUCUUCACAAGAUGGCUGGUAUUCACUUACCCAGAGGCCCCCUCAAGAUUCUGCCCUUGCUUUCAGCCUUGACCCCCCACUCCAGACCGCAGGAUGUCGUCUGAGGGUCUGAUAGGAUGUACACUAUUUGGAGAAGGGGCCGGAGGCAAGGCUGUCAGGAGAGAACUGGGUGUCUGUGGUUACUGGAAUGACAGUUCACAGCAAGGCUAUGCCUAGAUUUCCUUAGAGCAGCCUCAGGUGUCUCUGGCUCUUCCUCCCAGCCCCACAGCUGCCAGCUCUCUAGACUAUUACCAGUGGCCGAGGACGACAGCCGGCUCAUCCUUUAGGUCGGAUACAAACCUCUACUUGGUGUUCAAAACCUGGCAACAACUUCUGGAGGUAUGAAAGAGGAAGAAGGAGGGAAUAGGAGAUGCUCAGAGGAGAAGAGAAAAUCCAAAGCUAAGGUCAUUUACUCAGUUCUGCAGAUGUCAGAGCCUGGCCUGGCUGGGAAAGCUCGGCCAUCCAGAAGCAGACAGUGGCGAUGGGGCUGGGUAGCACAGGGCAUACAGAGCAUGCCCCAGGGCCUUGGGCUCUUAGCAGGUCAGGGUCGAGGGCAUCCCUCCAAACCCCUUCCCUGGAAACACUGGGGAGGGGGGCAUGGGGAAUUGCUGCUGCAGAUGCCACAUGAGGACUUUGGGGCUCAGUCUUUCUAGUCUCAGAGGUCAUCCUGGGAUACUGCUGUAGGGAGAGAGCCUUGCCUGUCUGUUGCUGAUGUCAAGUUACUAUCGUUAAGGUUUUUACUUUCCUCAAAGUCACUCUCAUCAACAGGAAUCCUAUAGAACUAUAGGAGAAAUCUUGUGCUCCCUCCCCUCCCAAGGCCCAGCCAGUGCAGGUCAACUUGGAGAGAGCACGUGCCCAGUGUGGUCACUCUCAGGAGGUUUGAAUGGCCCAAAAGUAAUAGCAGGAGAGGUCCAAGUUAAAGCAUCACGCUGUGAGUGCAAACGUGUGGCUCACAACUCAGCCACAUCCUCCAAGCUAAUUAUUUCCGACGUGAGGUUUUCCCAGUCCGCCAAGAAUGGUCCAUCUUCCUACAAAUGAGGUGUCAUCUCUCAGGUUAUGGUAAAGCAAAGCUUCUAGACGUAUCUUCUACACAGUGUCUGGGCCGUGUAUGGGGUGGUGUAGCUCCCUCUCGGGCUGCUCUGUGAGCUUGGUGGAGCUGUGGCUACUGAACUGAGAUCAGCUCCUGGACACAGGCUCCCAUGCGACAGAGAGUGAGAGCCACUCCUACACUUGACCCCUGGUGUGACCUGGAAGUUCUCCACAUCGUGUCAAGAUGUUCGCGAUGUCAUGCCUAGACAGGCCUGUUUGCUGGGCUACUGCAUCCUUUCCUCCAGGGCUGGUCUGACGAUCCUCACCCUUCUCCUGUGACUGAUCUCUGCUCAUUUUCCCUAAGGCUAUCAUUAUCUAGAUGUUUGGCUUUCUUGACAAAAUUUGUAAUAAUAAUAAAAAAAAACCUUUACUUAUUUUCUUUCUUUCUUGUAUAGUACUUUUUAGAAGACGUCUUCAAGUUGAUUUUCUAAGUUGAUUUUGUUAAGCCUUUGGGUUUUUUUUUUUUUUUUAUACCAAUGAGAAAGACAGCAAUAUUUAUUU